rnacentral:rRNA from 1 species
UACGGGGGGGGCAAGCGUUGUUCGGAAUUACUGGGCGUAAAGGGCUCGUAGGCGGCCAACUAAGUCAGACGUGAAAUCCCUCGGCUUAACCGGGGAACUGCAUCUGAUACUGGAUGGCUUGAGGUUGGGAGAGGGAUGCGGAAUUCCAGGUGUAGCGGUGAAAUGCGUAGAUAUCUGGAGGAACACCGGUGGCGAAGGCGGCAUCCUGGACCAAUUCUGACGCUGAGGCACGAAAGCGUGGGGAGCAAACAGG